ACCUCGCUGGCACAAUUGGUUAGCGCGUGAGACUUUUAGUAAGAGAACCAGUUUCUCUGCCUUCAUAUCUCAAGGUUGAGGGUUCAAGCCCCUCGCGAGGUG
rnacentral:tRNA from 1 species